rnacentral:rRNA from 1 species
GAAGCUUGCUUCUUUGCUGACGAGUGGCGGACGGGUGAGUAAUGUCUGGGAAACUGCCUGAUGGAGGGGGAUAACUACUGGAAACGGUAGCUAAUACCGCAUAACGUCGCAAGACCAAAGAGGGGGACCUUCGGGCCUCUUGCCAUCGGAUGUGCCCAGAUGGGAUUAGCUAGUAGGUGGGGUAACGGCUCACCUAGGCGACGAUCCCUAGCUGGUCUGAGAGGAUGACCAGCCACACUGGAACUGAGACACGGUCCAGACUCCUACGGGAGGCAGCAGUGGGGAAUAUUGCACAAUGGGCGCAAGCCUGAUGCAGCCAUGCCGCGUGUAUGAAGAAGGCCUUCGGGUUGUAAAGUACUUUCAGCGGGGAGGAAGGGAGUAAAGUUAAUACCUUUGCUCAUUGACGUUACCCGCAGAAGAAGCACCGGCUAACUCCGUGCCAGCAGCCGCGGUAAUACGGAGGGUGCAAGCGUUAAUCGGAAUUACUGGGCGUAAAGCGCACGCAGGCGGUUUGUUAAGUCAGAUGUGAAAUCCCCGGGCUCAACCUGGGAACUGCAUCUGAUACUGGCAAGCUUGAGUCUCGUAGAGGGGGGUAG